GUUGAACGCUGGCGGCGUGCCUAAUACAUGCAAGUCGAGCGAACGGACGAGAAGCUUGCUUCUCUGAUGUUAGCGGCGGACGGGUGAGUAACACGUGGAUCACCUCCCUAUAAGACUGGGAUAACUUCGGGAAACCGGCUCUAAUCCCGGAUAAUCUUCUGCACCGCAUGGUUCAAAAGUGAGAGACGGUCUUGCUGUCACUUAUAGCUGGAUCCGCGCUGCAUUAGCUAGUUGGUACGGUCACGGCUUACCAAGGCAACGAUGCAUAGCCGAACGCAGAGAGGGAUCGGCCACACGGGAACUGAGCCGCGGACCUGAGUCCUACGGGAGGGAGCAGUAGGGAAUCGUCCGCAAUGGGCGAAAGCCUGACGGAGCGACGCGGCGUGAGUGAUGAAGGUCUUCGGAUCGUAAAACUGUGUUAUUAGGGAUGAACAGAUGUGGAAGUAACUGUGCACAGCGUGACGGUACCUAAUCAGAAAGCCACGGCUAACUACGUG
rnacentral:rRNA from 1 species